rnacentral:lncRNA from 1 species
UCAACACGUCUGUUAUGGCUUCAAAAUUCCACGGUCUACUCCAUCUUCCAGGUUGAAGUAGGAGAUUUUUCAGAAAUGAUUGUCUUGCCCAUUUCUCGAAUCAAAUCAUGCAUCUUUAGUUUGCCCCAUUCAAUAGUUAUAAGGCACCGUUCAUUGAGAACACUGAUUUCGUUUGUUGCAUAGAAGCCACAUUCAUCCAAUAUUUUUGUGACAUGAUCCUUCUCCAAACCAAGAAAGCAACACAAGAUAUAUCAAGGAAUAUAGUUUUUUGAUUAUAAUCUAACCCAUGAAAGCCUAUUUUGAGCUUUUCUAUAAUUUCUCCUUCAGGUAUUCUUUUUAAUUUCUCCAAAUAGCUUUGCCACUCUGUUAUGGGUCUACCAAAAAGAGUGGAGCCUAAAACUUUGAGUGCUAACGGCAAACCUCCACAGUAAGAAACUACCUUCUUUGAUAAUUCAAAAAUAUUCUUCUUUAGGGCAAUUAUUUUUCAAAUGUAUACCAACUGAAAAGCUCAAGAGCCUCCUCUUCAUUCAUUUCCUGGCUGGAUAUCUCAUAUUCACUCACUUUGAUUUAGCAAAUGUUGAUCUCUUGUUGUUAUGAUAAUUAUACUUCCUGGACCAAACCACUCACGAUCUCCAGCCUAUUGCACUUAGGGCUGGUUUGGUAUUGCUGUGCUUUGAAAAAAAGCUGCUGUGAGAAUAAGCGGCUGUUGCUGUGAGAAUAAGCGGUGUGAAAUAAAGCCAGUAGAGUGUUUGGUAAACUUUUUUGUGAAAGUGCUUUUGGAAAAAAAAGCAGGAUGAUAGUGUGUCUUUUCAUUAAAGGAGCACUGUAGCUCCGUAUGCUUUGAAAAAACUGGCUUUUUUUCAAAGCAACAAAUAGCAGCUUCAGCUUUUCCUUUGAUUUUCAGCUUAUUCUCACAGCAGCUUCCAAAAUAAGCCAUUUUUUUCAGUUUACCAAACACCCUCAGCUUUUUUUUCACAGUGACUUUUUUUAAAAUCACCCUCAAUCCCAAACGGGGCCUUAGUUGCUUCCACUUUAUCUACAUUAUCAAUAACAAUAAGUACUUUUCUACGUCGAAGAAGUCGUUUUAUUACACUGAUCCCUUCACCGACACUAUUUAUCAGGAAUAUGGCGGUUUGUUUCAACAUGUUUAGAAACAAGUUGUUUUUUGCAAAUAAACCAAACCAUAUCUUAUGUUCAGUGUCACUAACAUCUCCAAGGUGACAUUUAAACUGGAAGCAAUGAUGAAUUUUGUUAUAAAUGGCGUUGGCAGCAGUUGUUUUGCCCAAUCCACCCAUCCCCAAAUUCCAACCAUUUUAACAAUCAUUUUAAUCCACCACUAAAAAAUAUCAUUGAUAAUUGGUUGAACACGAGAGUCGAUUCCAACCGGGUACUUGGCCACCUGUAAUUCAUCCGUGCCAGGAAGCAAUUCCAGAAUAUUCUUCUCAACAAUUGUCUUAAUAACCUUUGCUUCAGGCCUGAAAACUCAAUUAGUAAGCAUUAACUCAAUGAAGGAUUUACUAUAAGUUUCACCUUCACUCAACAGUCAAUAUAAAGAAUUAACUAAAUGCAAAAAUAUAUAUAUAUAUAUAUAUACACACACAAACCAGUCCUUUUCCAUUGAGAGAUUCUACAAAUAAUUUUAAUUGAUUUGACAAAAUAAAAAUAAUUUCAUUUGAGAAACACCUUGUGGUCCUCAUUCCAUAACUUAUUUUUCAGGAUUCAUUCAAUCCAUAUAUGGUCAAAAGAGAGAAAAAAAAAAUUCAUUUUUUGAACAAAAAAUAUAAUUUACAUUAAGAGAAAGAGACUAAGCUUAAUCUAAAAAAAAACCAAAAUAAAAAAAAAAAAAGGUUUAUAAUUUGUAUAUGGAUUUGUUUUCAUUCCGAUUGGGCCUUCAAUUGCUUGAGUGGACCCAUCAGCCCAUCUGUUGGUUCCUUUUGUUUGGGCUUUUAUAUUUUAAACUGGCCUUUCUAAGAUUCAAAAGUAAUAUCCAAAGCUCCUAAAUCUAGCCUUCUUAGUUCUUUGUACCAAAAUUAUUAUGAUAAUUAAUUAAGUUAUAAAUCAAUGAUAUGUACAAAAAAAAAACAAAAUUAAACGUACCAAAAAAUUAAACGUAACAAAAAUUAAACGUACUAAAAUUAAACUAACCAAUCAAUCAUAUGUACAAAAAUCAAUGUACCAAAAAUAAAAAAAAAACGAACCAAUUCAUAAUAUGAAUUAAAUUAACGUAUGAAAACUAAUGAUAAGCAUACUAGUAAUGUAUGAAAUAAUUUCUCUCAAUAAAAUGUACACAUGAUAAUUGAAAAAAAAUAUAUAAACAUCCAACCAUUUUUGUUAUCUUGAAGAUAAGAUUAUAUUUUAAUUUUAGGAGAUCAAGAUAUUUAGUACGAAAAGAUAUUAAAAAUAGAUAACUGGAUAAAUAUUCUUAAUGACAAACCAUUGAUUAUCUCUUAAAACAGAGUGCCUCAACUUCUAAAAAUACUUAAAAAAAAAAAUUAGCAGAAAAUUAAUUUUAAACUGUGGCCCAAUGUACCUAAGCGUCUGAAUCGAGAACCUUAAAGACACAUAUGUUUGAUAAAAAAAAGCUUUAAAUGUUAGGGGUUUAAAUCUAGGGAGUCCUAACUAAAAGAAUGCGAUACUAUUUAUUUUAAACGAAAAAUUACAUUUUUACGUUAAAAAAAAUCAAACCUAAUACUAUUCAUUUUACCUUUAUUUUGUCCUUAUCGUCAAAACUAAAAAUUUUCAAGUAUUUUCAUUAGUUUUUCUUUUAAAUCUAAUCAAGCCUAUGUAAAAAUAUGUUUUAAAUCGAAGAUGUCCUACUAUUACUCAUUAUUUUCCUGUGUGCUAUUUGCAUAACAACCAUUCGUUAACAUGUUUCAAAAUGUGGAAAAGCCGAAAAUAGAUAGCAGCAUUACUAUUAAACUAGUCGAGUAUUGAAAGAAUCCCAAGUCCAAUGAAAAAUGGUUACCCGUUAUUAAGAUGGUGGCCAGACAAAUUUGCAGCUUGAGUAAGAGCCUCCCUCCACUGCUUUACCCUUUCUUUCUUAGCUUCACGUUCUUUGUCAUCUUUUUCUUCAAGGAUGCCAUCUUCGUGCUUCUGAAAUGCUCGGGCUAAACAACCUUCCUGCUUCCUCACAUGUGAAGGAUCGACAUGAUAGAAUAUUGGCAAGACCUGUUGCCCUAGCCUUUCUCUACAUUCCAUGAUCUUCACCAGCUCGUCAAGACACCAUCUUGAUUCCGCGUGACUCUUUGAGAAGACAAUGACCGAGAUUCUGGACCCUUCGAUUGCCCGCAACAGUUCGGGUUUUUAUUUCUCCCCCUCUUUUCAGAUUGUCCUCGUCAAUAAAGGCAUCGAAGCCCCUGCCUUGUAAUGCCGCGUGAAGGUGGCUCGUGAAGCCAUUGCGUGUAUCUUCACCUCUAAAACUCAAGAACACGUCGUAACUCCAGAGUUUUGAGGAGGAGGGUUCACGGGAUGUCAUGGUGUUGUAUUACUGUUUACGGCACUAGAGUGAUUCCAAUCAAGCGAAAAAAAUGGCAGUGGUUUUUGUGUUGCAACAGAGUAUAUAUAGAACUAAAGGGACACUUUUUGGUUCUUUCCAGGAAGCGUUCCGCUCCCAAUCUUUGGCUCUUUCCGGGAAGCAUCCGCCCCAAGUUUUGAAGAAAACCAAGGACGUUUCCAGUGGAAAACCACGAUGUUCGUGGCCACACGAUCUGAUCACUGGACGGCUACGAUUGAAGUGUCAGAAAAGAUGGGAGAAAAGCAGCUUUAAGAUGAAACCGCGUUCAACAAAGCAAAAGGACAUGAACUGAUGGGACUUGAGUCGAUGAUGGAAGGGUAGCAAGUGCCUUUUAGUUAGUGCGCUUGCAGAACUAAUUAUUACUGAGAUUCUACGAAGGGUAAGGGAAAGAGGCACGGAGGAGCUUAAAGUUCUAAAUUAGAGGGUCUAGUACAUUAUCUUCACGUACAAACUAAGACAACCAAGUUUGAAUUUAGAGGUUUUUUCACAUGGGAUUUUAUUCUCUUCUUUUUCUGAAUUGGUUUUCAUCUUCUACUUGUUUAGUGUUAGGGUUAAUUAGAUAUAAAAUCAUUAUACUAAUCGAUUUAGGUCUGUUGACUUCUAAUUCAAUUAAGCAAUUUCUUUUUUAUGGCCUAUAUUUAGGGAUGUGCUUCUACAAUUUGUUUCAGUACCAUCUGAUUCUAUGCCCGUAUGCAGGUUUUGGAAAUUAAAAUUUCAAAAUCAUGUAGUAAAUGGUUGAAUAAUUCGCAUCACCUAAUUGCGAUAUAGAAUGUAUACUGAAAUUGAAUUUAUGGUCCAAUUCACUAUUAGGUUUUAAUAGUUCACAGUCCUUUCAGUGUUAUCCUUGUAUUGGUAGUUUGGAUUGUAGAAACUAGAGAAAAAUCAUUAGGUUUUAAUAAAAGCAGGGUUAAAAAGGUGGGGGUGUCUAGAUAGAUGCGGUUCAAUUGAGAUUACAAAAGUGAUAUUUUAUCGUAUUUUUUAUAUUAUAUUUAUAUCACAUUUCUAAUAGAGAUGUGAUUCACAAGUAUUGGUAAGUCAUGUUUCUAUUAGAAAUGUGGUAUGAAAAAUGUGGUAAGUGUAGGUUACUCUUAAGAUUAAUGGAAGAAUAAUACUUUGCAUCCCCAUUAAGGGAUGCACAUAUUCUUACAUUUGCAAAUAACGUAUUUUGAGUAUAUAAACUUAAUGAUCUAAAUCAUUCAAUUUCUUAAUCAUCAAUUGAAGAUCACUCAUACAAAAAAUCAUUUGAAUCGAAAAUCGUUUAAUUAUCCAAAACAUAUCAACUAAAUGAAGGGUUCAUCAUGAAUAUGUUACUUGGUAUCUACACCGUUGAUUUGUACUAUCCAUACAUUUUAAUGACUAAAUGAUCUCCGAUUCAAAUGAUUUUCUGUAGCUGUGAUCUUUAAAUGAAGAUUAAGAAUUAAACAAUUUCGAUUAUAAAAUUUAUAUGAUAAAUAUAGAUUAUUUGCAUAAUAAAAAAUGAGCUCAUCCUUCAAAGUAUGAAUGCAAGUAUUAUACUUAUUGAAAUUGUCCAUGAGUUUAUUGUUGGCUAUCCCUCUCACCCAAAAAUGAGGGAGAGAUACAUUAUGUUGCAAAAAGUUUGAUAAUGCCUUUAUUAUUGGGUUUAGAUGAGAUAACGGGGUGCAAAGAGUAAACCUAGCUCUAAUUGGACUAAUAAAUGUUUAGAUGUUCUGAAAAUUUCAUUGUACUUAUCUAAAAUGCUAUCAUUUUCGUUACUUUUCUAUAUAUAGCACUAAAGGGACACUUGUUGGUUCUUUCCAGGAAGCGUUCCGCUCCCAUUCAGGUUUUUGAAGAAAACCAAGGACGUUUCCAGUGGAAAACCACAAUGUUCGUGGCCACACGAUCUGAUCACUGGACGGCUACGAUUGAACUGUCGGAAAAGAUGGGAGAAAAGCAGCUUUAAGAUGAAACCGCGUUCAACAAAGUAAAAGGACACGAACUGAUGGGACUUGAGUCAAUGACAGGAAGGGUAGCAUGUGCCUUUUACUUAGUGCGCUUGCAGAAUUAAUUAUUGCUGAGAUGGGUGAAAGAGUUGAAAAAAGUUUGGUAAACUUUUUUUUUUUAUAAAAGUGCUUUUAACAAAAAAUAAAAAAUAAAAACAGUAUUUUUGGUAAACUUUUAUAUAAAUUAUUGACAGUGGCGGAGUCAGAAUUUUGAAUGAGGAGGGGCCUUUCAUAUAUAUAUAUAUAUAUAUAUAUAUGUGUAUAUAUAUAUAUAUAUGUGUAUAUAUAUAUAUAUAUGAGUGUGUAAAAAGUUGAAUUCAUAACAUGUUGACAUUUGCAAUUUGUGUAAUCCUCACAAAACUGAAAAAAUUCUCUUAAAUUUAAUACUAAGAAGAAAAAAAUGUAAAAACCCAGACAACCAAGUAAGAGGUAGAUUGUGGAAGGCUUAAGAAAAUACAAAGAAGUAGAAAAAGAAGGAAAAGGGGCAGAAGUUUGCAAAUAAAGAAGGUGGGUUGCUUUAGAAAAUUAUAGGGUGUAUAUUACUGUUAGGUGAGAGAAUCGAACUAGAAGUGGGGUUGCUUUUUCCAUUUAAAACUGCACAUCUCUUUUAAAAACUCCCCUGCCAAACUUGUCGUUUUAUUAAACAGCUGAAAAGAUUUAAAAUCAAAACAGUUUAACGACGUCGUUUGAUUCAUCUUCUUUCAUGAGGUUCACACCUCAGCUAAAGUCAGGAUGGGCCUGGGACCUCGUCCCUUGGUGGCUCCGCCCCUGAUUGUUGAAUAUGUUAAAUGAUUAAAAAAUAUAUGAUAUUUAGUGUGAUAUAAUAAUUUUCAAAGACAACAAUGUAUGGGCAAAUAUUGUAAUUUUAUAAAAUAUGUGGGGGUAGACUUGCCAUUAGAAAAGUUCAUUAAAUGAGCACUGAUUACUAUAAAUUGAAAUUAAAAAAAAUACUUUUUUUAGAAGCAUGGUAGACUAUAAUUCUACUUUUCUAUGUUUUUCUGCUGUCAUUGACAACAGUAACAUUUUUUUUCCAAACACAUUUAAUACUCCAAUUUUUUAACAAGCUGUUUUUUUUUUAAAGCAUCACAAUCCUAAAUCAGCUCUAGCAUUACCCAAAAAUGCUACUUUUACCAUUUUUUAUAGGGUCCAUUUUUAUAUUAUAUUUAUACCACCUUUCAAAUAAAGACGGAUCCACAUGUAUUGAUCAGUUAUACAUAUAUUAAAGAAGUGAUACAAAUGUGAUAUGAAAAAUGUGGUAAGUAUAACGUUACUCUUUAGAUUAAUGAAGGGAUAAUACUUGCAUCCCCUUGAAGGAUGCACAUAUUCCUACAUUUGUAUAUCUUGAGUAUAUAAACUUAACGAUCGAAAUUAUUCAAUCUCUUAAUAAUUAUUUGAAGACCACUCAUACACAAAAAAAAAAAAAACCAAAAAUCAUUUAAUUAUCCAAACAUAUCAAAUAAAUAAACAAUUGACUAUGAAUAUAUUACUUAGUAUAAUUUGUACUAUAUAUUUUAGGAUUAAAUGUUAAAAUGGUCCAUGUGUUUUAGUCAUCGGGUCAAUUUAGUCCAUGUGUUUUCAAUUUGGCCAAUUUUGUCAUUGUGUUUAUCUCUGUUAGUCAAUUAAGGACAUUUUCAUCUAAUUUUUGUAAACAAAUUUAUAAAUUAUUGUAAACUUAUUUAUAAAAUUAUUUAUUUGAUUUAAAACAUUUAAAAAUGAAAUAAAUUAAAAAUUAAAAAACAAAUAUUCUCCUAACUCCCCGACCUCCUUCCUAACAUUACUUCCUCUCUUUUCCAUGUCACAACCUUAAUCGUUUUUCAGAUUGGAAGUUUUAUAUCUUAUAUGUGUUAUUUCUCAUUGAUUUUCAUUUUUUAUAAAUAGAAAGGAUAAUUAAAUCUCAUAUACUUUUUCUUACGAUUUUUUUAAAAAAGAUUGAAGGAAAUAUUCUUAAUUGGCUAACAUAGACAAACACGAUGACUAAAUUAGCCAAAAUAAAAAACACGAGGUCAAAAUUGAUCAUAUAACUAUAACACAAGAACUUUUAACAUUUAAGCCUAUAUUUUAAUGACUAAAUAAUCUCCUUAUCACUAAACGAAGUGAGAUACUCAAGUCAAGUCUCCUCUCAAAAGCAAAAGCACAUUCAGUCGACAAAGAUAGAAGUCAUCAUGUAACCCUUAAGCGACACGGUAAUAGAACGGUGGAAAAGCGGGAGCUGCUUUUUGAAGAAAAACAAGGUAGUUUCCAGUGAAAAACCAAGAAGCCACUCGUGGCCACACGAUCUGAAUACUGGAUGGCUAAGAUUGAAGAUUGGCCGAAAACAGCCUUUAGAGAAAAGAAGGCGUUCAACGGAAAAAGGACAAACUAUACCCCAACUGUGAGAUUGGGAGACAGAGAUACAAAACAGGAGAUCAAAUCUUCUACACCCAAAAUGUGUGUAGCUUCUCUAUGGCCCAAUAAGUGUCUAAUACAUAUUCAAUAUCUUAACUUUUCUUAAUUUUGUUGUCAUAAAUUUAAUAUAUGUCAAAUAUUUAUUGGGACCAGAGAGAGGCCACACCCAUUUUGGGUGCAAAAAAUUUGAUCUCACACAACAGAGUGUACGGCACAUGCUAGUAACGUCAUCGUUGAUCAAUGGGAAAACUGAGGUUCUACGAAGGGUAAGGGAAAAGAGGCACGGAGGAGGAAAGAAACUAGCACAAAAUUAGAGAGAGUCUAUUGCAUUAUCUUCACGUACAAACUAAGACAACCAAGUUUGAAUUUAGAGGUUUCACAUGGGAUUUUAUUCUCUUCUUUUUCUGAAUUGGUGUUUCAUCUUCUCCUUGUUUAGUAUUAGGGUUAAUUAGAUAUAAAAUCAUUAUACUAAUCGAUUUAGGUCCGUUGACUUCUAAUUCAACUAAGCAAUUUUUUUUUAUGGCCUAUAUUCAGGGAUGUGUUUCUACAAUUUGUUUCAGUACCAUCUAUACCCGUAUGCAGGUUUUGGAAAUUAAAAUUUCAAAAUCAUGUAGUAAAUGGUUGAAUAAUUCGCAUCACCUAAUUGCGAUUUAGAAUGUAUACUGAAAUUGAAUUUAUGGUCCAAUUCACUAUUAGGUUUUAAUAAUUCACUGUUCUUUCAGUGUUAUACUUGUAUUUGUAGUUUGGAUUGUAGAAACUGGAGAAAAAGGUGGGGGUGUCUGGAUAGAUGCGGUUCAAUUGAGAUUACAAAUUUAUCACUUUUUUUAUAUCAUAUUUGUAUCGCAUUUCUAAUAGAGAUGAGAUUCACAUGUAUUGGUAAGUCCUAUUUCUAUUAGAAAUGUGGUAUGAAAAAUGUGGUAAGUGUAGGUUACUCUUAAGAUUAAUUGAAUGAUAAUACUUUGCAUCCCCAUGAAGGGAUGCACAUAUUCUUACAUUUGCAAAUAACGUAUUUUGAGUAUAUAAACUUAAUGAUCUAAAUCAUUCAAUUUCUUAAUCAUUAAUUGAAGAUCACUCAUACAAACAAUCAUUUGAAUCGAAAAUCGUUUAAUCAUCGAAACAUAUCAAAUAAAUGAAGGGUUCAUCAUGAAUAUGUUACUUGGUAUCUACACCGUUGAUUUGUACGUUCCAUAUAUUUUAAUGACUAAAUGAUCUCCGAUUCAAAUGAUUUUCUGUAGUUGUGACUUUAAAUGAAGAUUAAGAAAUUGAACAAUUUCGAUUAUAAAAUUUAUAUGAUAAAUAUACAUUAUUUGCAUAAUGAAGAAUGAGCUCAUCCUUCAAAGUAUGAAUGCAAGUAUUAUACUUAAUGAAAUUAUCCAUGAGUUUAUUGUUGGCUAUCCCUCUCACCCAAAAAUGAGAGAGAGAUACGUUAUGUUGCAAAGUUUGAUAAUGCCUUUAUUAUUGGGUUUAGAUGUGCAAAGACUAAACGUAGGUCUAAUUGGACUAAUAAAAGUUUAGAUGUUCUGAAAAUUUCAUUGUCCUUAUCUAAAAUGCUAUCAUUUCGUUACUUUUUUAUAUAUUUUUUUGCUAGUCAGAGCAUAUUUUCACUAAAACGGAGCUUGGCUGCCGAAAAAUCAGCAACAGCUCCUGCUGCUAGCAAAUCACGGAUGGACACGUAUCCAAGUAAUUCAUUUUUUAAUCACAACUUGGACACGUGUCCACCUUCGAUUCGCUAGUAGCAAGAGUUGCUGCUAAUUUUUUCAAGGGAGACUUUGGAUGCGGUCCCUAGUUAUGAACAGUCUUUGACUGAAACCUUAUUGGUUUUCAAUUUUUGAUCCAAGUCCUUGAAAUUAAUUGAUAAUUUAUUUCUAUGUACGUUACUAUAUUUUUUAAAUUAAAAACUAAAAUUUAUAGUUGUUUAUAGUAAUGAGAUUUUAAAUAAAAAACCAUAAUUUGUGGGAUUAAAAAUAUUAAAAUAUAAAUAUAUUAUUGUGUGUGUGUGUAAACAUGGGUACAUUCAUAAAAUAACCAAAAAGUUAUUGUAUCAAAACAUGGGUACAUUCUUCAAAAUGGGUACAUUUAGCAAAAAUAAAAAUGGGUACAAAUAAAUAAAAAAAUAUGGGUACAAACAAAUAAAACUUUAAAAAAUAUGGGCACAAAAAGAAAUUAAUAUAUGGGUACAAAUUAAAACUGAAAGGAAAAUUGGUACAAAUUAAAAAAGGGUUGCAAAUUAAAAAUGGGUACAAACUAAAAAUAAAAAUAUAUGAUAAAAAAUUUAGCCAUAAAUAUAAAUAUACUAAUUGUAACAUUUUUAAUAUUAAAUGAAUAUAUUUAGAAAUAAAAAAUAUUUUAUUAUUGAAAUAAUUAAUGAUAUUAUUAAUACAAAGGACCUUGAUCAAAAAUUGAAAAGUAAUAAGGUUUUAAUCAAUAGAAUAGUAAAAAUAAGGAUGAAAACCUAAUUACUCCUUUUUUCAAUAACAAAGCUUUCUCCUUUUCACUAUGCUAGCUUCUUUGUUGGCCCUAGUUGUCGUCUAGUUAAUAUGCUUACCAGCUCUUACCUAUAAAACGGAAUCAUGCUUAGAAUUUGAACUUACGACAUUGAGAUUUGGAGACCUACAUUGUACCCGACUAAACUAAGAGAGCUUUCUUAUCACAGGAAAUACAAAGAGUGACGGUCCACACACAAAUGAAAAUAAAAAUACAAAAGCGAUUUGAAUUUGAUUGCACUUUUCGUUCCUUCUUCCCAUGAACUUCGGAUCAUCCUUUUACAUUGCUCACUUCUCCAUAUACUUUUCCUCCAUCUCUAAAUUAAAAACAAAUUAAAUCAAAAAAUAAAAAAUAAAAUGGUUAUCGAAUUGACCGAUAUUUGAUUUAAUUACAACAACAAAAAUUUGAAAUGUGCUCUUAAUUAUCUGGUUCCACAAGAGAAUGCAAAUUUUUGUAUCUUCUUAAUUAUAGUAAUUUAUACUAAAAUUCCAUUUGAAGACUUGCACCACCUGAGGCUGUAUACUAAUACCAUAUGAAGGCAAGAUUAUUCAAUGCUAAUCCUUGAAAAUGAAAUUCAAGAAAUUUAAUCAUUUGGCCUGUUGUCAUUCCUUUUACAAAACCAGUUUUAGAGUUUAUAAGUUAAUAGAAUUGAUAGAUUCAUCAUUUAUCAACCGAAUUUGCUUUCAAAUUUCAACAGACAAUUCAUAAAUAUCAUUAGAAAUAAAUAAUGUUGUUAGGUUUUUCCUUUUUUUUCUGGCUGCGUACAUAGUACGUAUUUUGCAAGGCCACCCUGACAUACACAUAUUAGGUCACUCGUCGCAGGACGAACAUGUAGAUGAAGAUGACAGCAGAAGGAAAAGAGCCAUGUAAAUACUAAUUACUUAUAAUUAGGUUUACUAUAUUGUUAUAUAUGUGACCACUAACCAUAGAAUAUAAUAGUCUUCAUUACGAAACUUGAGCUAACUCUAGCUAUGCAAAUUAAGUUAAUAACAAGUAGUACUAGUCUCUCUAUACUUAUGCAGCCGGAGCAAAAUCAUAGUCUCCAUCAUCGUCAUCGCCAUCGUUCCCAUCCCCUUCUGAGCAUGUUAGUGGCGAAAGAUUCUCGAAUUUGGCAGUGACUCUACCAUCUCCAUCUUCAUGCUUCUUGCACCACGAGACAAUGCUAAUAUUUGAAACGGGACACAUUUUUGUUUUUUUUAUCAAGAAAGUGAAAAAAGAAAGAGUUAGACUGAGUCCAAAUGAUGAUAACUUAGAUUGUGAAGGUAAGUUCAUAUAUAUAUCGAGGGACGAGAAUAAGGUGCAUGUUAAACUCGUCUUUGCACAAGGCAUUCGCGUGGGGAGUGUGACUGCUGCAUGAAGGUUGUGCAAGAACCAUUGUCCAAGACAGGUGGUGCUUUGUCAUCCAGCCACGAAGGGGUCGCAAAUGACAAUUCAGCAAACCACGUUGGUGCAAAUUAUGUUUGCUUCGUGACAACAUGCAGAGUUCAUUCAUGUGUUAGGAUGGAGAUAAUUGGCAAUGUGUUGGGUGGGUAUAUAUUCGAGGAAGAGGAUCCUCUCCUGAGCUUAGGAUAAGAAUUCUUCUGACCACGAAAUCCGGACCGUUCAAAUUUAAUUUAACGGCUCCAAACAAGAAGACCUUCUAAAAGUUAUAAUAAUUACAACCGUUGGAUUAAAUUUGAACGUCCCGAAUUUCGAGAUCAGGAGGAUCCCCAUCAUGAGCUCAAGAGAGGAUCCUCUUCCUAUAUUCGAAACUCUGAAAGUGAUAGAUGCUUUAUUCACAUGAAAGAAAAGGCUAAUCUUUGCUUUUCAAUACUAGGGUAGAAACAAUUAAUAGCUAGAUUUCCUUGGUAACCUUUUCAUUUAAACUUUUUGGUUUUAUGUUUUUGAGGUGGAGUUGCUCUUAGAAUAUGCAAAAGUUAUUUCCCACAAUACAAACUUGGUUAUUAAAAUGGAAAUUGAAGUCUGUGACUUUGGACGAAUCAGUUAGAUAAAGCUACGUCAUAUUUGACAUUUUCGAGGUUUUUGUUUUCAUAUAAUGUCCUUGAUUCCUCCCUCUUCCCUCCCAUGAACUCGCAUCAUCCUUUUCCAUUCCUCACGUUUUCUUAUACUUUCUUUCUAUCCCUAGAAACAGAUGAAAACUAAAAACUAAAAAAGAAAUGGUUAUCAAAUUGACAAAGAAAUUCGCAGGGUUCGAUCCAGAAGGCGCAAACACAUCAGAACACUCUCCACUAAUAAUCCAAAACGGUAGAGACAUCAUCUGUAACAAAAGAUUGUUGUACAACACAAAACCCCGAGCGUUUAAACCGACAUUCGUGACCAUAUGCUUAAUAUAAACCAUCUUAGUUGCAAUGGUCACCAAAUAGGCAAACGCUUACGAAUACGCAGUCGAACUAAAACCCAAAUCGGUGGCCACAUAACCAAUAGCUCUACCCAAAAUGAUCAACAACGAUACAAAGGUAAGCUUAGACGGGAUUGGCAGCUUCCUAAAUGCAGUAUCCGCUAGCGCAACCAAAAGGGGUGCGCAAGAUCUAACCAUUACAAAUGUAUCCACAUUCGCAUGGCGAAGAAGAUUGGUGUUGAUAAAGAUAGCAAGGUAAAACACAAGUGCACAGUGGGCAAAAACGUCUUGGCCGUCUGCCAUGUGAAGGGAUCGUGGUGCAAAAAUUGAUAAAUUCCGGUGAGUUAAUUUGUUUGGUAUGAUGUAUUUCUGAAGGUAGACAAGGAACAAGAAAAACAGAGAGAGUUUAGAGGAAUGUGAAAGGUGCUUUUUUUCAGUGCAUUUUGUAAGCAUAGAUAUUUUCAUUAAAUAUCAACACAUUGGAUUUUUUCUCUUACAAGCUAAUCUAGAGCAAUAUAAGCCCUUGAUUCACAAACAAGGAUCUAAAGCAUACACUUGUCUUAUGAGACUAGACAUACACUUUCCUAUUGGUUUCUUCCUUCUCAGCCACUUGAUCAAAACUGAAUUCUAUUUAAUUCCAACACUCCCCUUUAAAUGAAUUAUGGUUUUGAUUCCAAGCAUUCCUCUGAGAUAGACAAAUCUUUCCCUUGGUAGAGCUUUGGUAAAGAUGUCUGCCAUUUGAUCCUGUGAUUUGCAGUAGAUCAGUUCAAUGGUAUUCUCCUGCAAGGGUUCCCUUAUGAAGUGAAACUUCCUUUUGAUAUGCUUGGUUUUCUGGUGAAAAAUAGGAUUUUUGGUCAUAGCUAUUGCUGAUGUGUUGUCACACAUAAGUGGUGUAGCAUCCACUUGCAUUUCACCAAAAUCCUUUAACACAAACCUCAACCAUAUAGCUUGAGAGGUAGCCAUUGCAGCACUCACAUACUCUGCCUCAGCCGUAGACAAUGCAACACUUUAUUGCUUGACAGAGGCCCAAGAAAAUAUCCCAGAACCAAAUGUAAAUGCAUAUCCUGAGGUACUUCUCAUGUCAUCUUCACUGCCACCCCAAUUGUUGUCACAGAAGCCUACCAGAAUUGCUUUUUCUCCUUUUUCAUACUUGAUUCCAUAGUCCAAGGUCCCUGAGAUAUACCUUAGUACACUCUUAGCAGUUCCCAUGUGAAUUCUUGUGGGAUUAUGCAUGAACCUUGAUAAGAGACUGGCUGCAUACAUAAUGUCAGGUCUCGUAGCAAUCAAGUAAAGCAGACUUCCAACCAUUCUUCUGUGUAAGCAUUCAUCAGCAGAUUCAGAACCAUCCACUUUACAAAGUUUCUCAUUUGUGAUCAAUGGUGUUGCCACAGAUUUACAUCCUUUCAGAUUGAAUCUUUCAAGCAAUGAUUGUGCAUACUUCUGUUGAUGUAUGAAAUCCCAGUAACUUCUUGUAUUACUCCAAUUCCCAAGAAGUGAUGCAACAAGCCAAGAUUCGACAUCUCAUAUUGACUCAUCAUGUCCUUUCUGAAUUCUUCAAUCAUUUCUUCACAAUUACUAGUAAAGACCACAUCAUCAACAUAUAUAGACACAAUAAGCAUCUCAGAGUUCUCACCAGUUUUUGUAUAUAAUGUAGCUUCACUAGGACUUUUGUUAAACCCACUUCUGCUGAAAUAGGAGUCUAUCUCACUGUACCAAGCCCUGGGGGCUUGUUUGAGUCCAUACAGUGCUUUGUUUAACUUAUUAACCCUCUCUUCUUUAUUUGGUACUUCAAAUCCUUGUGGUUGAUCCACAUACACUUCUUCCUCCAUAAUGCCAUUUAGAAAGGCUGAUUUAACAUCUAACUAGUGAAGUUUCCAUCCCUUUUGGGCAGCAAGAGCAAUCAAGGUUCUAAUGGUAUCUUACCUUGCCACUGGGGCAAAGGUUUCAUUGAAAUCUACCCCAGGUUGUUGUGAGUGGCCUUUGGCAACUAAUCUUGCUUUGUUUUUCUGUAUUGAUCCAUCCAAAUUUAGUUUGGUCUUGUAGAUCCAUUUCACACCUAUCACAGGUUUAUCACUCGGUCGAUUUACCAAUUUCCAAGUAGAGUUUUUCUCAAUCAUGGCAAUUUCUUCACUCAUUGCUUUCUGCCAAGAUUGAUCCUUCUCAGCUUCUUCAAAACUCUCUGGUUCAACAACAUAAUAGUUACACACUGCAUAGAUCUCAUUUAAACUUCUCAUUCUCAAUGGAGUUGUUUCAGGGGAGGAAUCCUGUAAUUCUUGUCCUUCUGCAUUUGAAGUAGAGGAUUGAGAUCCUUGUGUUGGAGUUGAAAAGUCAUUUUGACUUCCAUCCUGUAUAACAGGUUCAUUCUCAUUUUGCACUUCAGCUUGUGUUUCUUCCAUUGCUAGUGGAAAUGAGAUAGUGUCAAUGUUAUUGGUUUCCUAAUUCCAUGCUUCAUUCUCCUUGAACACCACAUCCCUUGAGAUAAUCACUUUAUGUGACUCAAUAUUGUAGAGCCUAUAGCCCUUUUCACAGCUUCCAUAACCUAUAAGAACACACUUGACACUAUUGAUUUCAAGCUUGUGUCUUAAUUGAGAUGGUAUAUGUGCAUAGCAGAUUGAUCCGAACACCUUCAAGUGCUUCACACUUGGUUUGCUGCCACUAAAUGCCUCAAAAGGUGUUUUCUUCUCAAGUGCUUUAGUUGGACACCUGUUUAGGAGAUACACAGAUGUAUUGACAGCCUCACCCCAAAAAGAAAGUGGCAUUUUCUUAUCAUGUAGCAUUGACUUGGUCAUUUCAACCACGGUCAUGUUCUUCAUCUCAGCUACACCAUUCUGUUGUGGUGUGUAGGCCACUGUCAAUUGCUUCUGUAAUCCUGCUCCUUCACAGAAUUCUUGGAACUCAAGUGACAUGAAUUCACCACCUCUGUCGCUUCUUAGUCUUUUGAUCUUAAAACCACUCUGAAGUUCAACCAUCACUUUGAAUUUCUUGAAGAUUGAAAAGACUUCACUCUUGUUUCUCAUAAGAUAUACCCAAACCAUCCUGGUGCAAUCAUCAAUGAAUAACAGAAAGUAUAUGUUCCCACUGAAUGUAGGUGUCUUCAUUGGACCACACACAUCUGUGUGAAUGAGUUCUAGAGGUUGGCUUGCUUUCCAUGCAUUUCCAGUUUCAAAAGAGUCCCUGUGAUGCUUCCCCAAUAUGCAACCUUCACAUGAUUCUUUAGUCUAUUGUAACUCAGGAAGACCAGUCACCAUUUGUAGUUUCUUCAAUCUCUUUAAACUAUGAAAGUUGAGAUGUCCAAACCUCUUGUGCCAUAACCAAGAGUUUUCUGCAACACUUGCUUUUAGAGCAAUUGAGUCAUUGUAAUCUAGCAUAAGUGGAAAACUUUUGUUUUCUGUCAUGCCAACUUGUGUUAUCGAGUUUUGGAGGCUUCUGUCAUCAAAGAUCACCACCAUAUUGUCUCCAAAAAGUAAGAAGUAACCAUGAGAAAUCAUUUGUCCCACACUAAGGAGAUUCUCAUCAAGACCUGGUACAAGUAUUACAUCCUUGAUAAAUCUUCUUCCACCCUUUGUCUCUAGAACAAGAGUUCCUUUUCCAGUAGCUUUCACUAGUUGUCCAUUCCCCAUUUUAACUCUGCAAUUGAAGCUUCUGUCAAUGUUGAUUAACAAGGAUUCAUAUAUAGUCAUAUGAUUACUGCAUCCACUGUCAAUGUACCAGAUUCCUCUCUUAUUUUCAGUUCUUGCAACACUACAAGCAUAAAAGACAUUUACUUCCUCUUCUUCUGCUCUAUGUGCAUAGUUGACAGCUUGGUUCCUUCUUGGAUUACAAUCUUUUGCUAGAUGGCCAAAUAUGUCACACUUGGUGCAUUUGGGUUUUCCCUUGAACCAACAAACACCAUAGUGUAAUUUGUCACAGAUUUUACACUUGGUUUUGGUAGAAUCACUGCUAGUUUCUGAUUUUGAUGGUGGAGUAUGGUUGUUGUCCCAUUUCUUCCCUUUUCCUUUCCAGAAUUUCUUUUGAUUUGAGUUGUUCCCUUGAGCCCUGUAACUGCUAUCUCUCUCAGUCACACUUAGACUAGUAAAAGCCUUUUCAGCGAAGUUUUCAGAGUGCAUAUUUAACCUCUGCUCAUAGCCUUUCAAUGUACCAAUCACCUCCUGAACCUCAAUGGAGUCAAGGUCCUUAGUUUCUUCUAUAAGUAUGCGAUGGAAUCAUAGGAUUUAGGCAAGCUAAUAAGUAUCUUCUGUACUAAUCUUUGGUUUGUCAGUUCUUCACCAAGAGUUUUCAUUUGAUUCACAAUGUCUGUCAAUCUUGUUAAAUAAGUAGAUAGAGCUUCACCAUCAUUCAUCCUAAUGUACUCAAAAUCUCUUCUUAAACAUUGUAGUUUGACAGACCUAACCUUUUUAUCACCACCAAAUUCUUGUUGAAGAACAUCCCAUGCAGUCUUGGAAGUUUCAAAGUUUGAGAUUCGAGGAAAGAUCUCAUCAGACACUGCCCCUUGAAUGAUACCAAGAGCUUUUGCAUCUCUGGUUUCAUUAACUUUCAUUGCUAUCUUCCUCACAGACUGUUGAUCUUCAUCGCUAGAAUUAUCUUCAGUUUCUACGGUUUCAAAACCCUUGUCCACCAAAUUCCAGAGAUCAUGUGAUUUAAAUAUGGUCUUCAUCUUGAUGGACGAAAAAUCAUAGUUGAUCCCAUUAAAAAUAGGAGCCCUCAUAUCUCCUCCACUGCUCGAAGUAGCCAUGUGAGACUUUGUAAGAACAAAUGAGAUUUUCACGAUCUAGGUAUGUUUUUCCCCUUUCCUUUUCAGAGAUACGAAGCACACACAAAAACGCCUAGUCCUGAAAUUGAUCAGAAAAUAAGCUCUGAGGCCAUGAUAAAUUCCGAUGAGUUAAUUUGUUUGGUAUGAUGUAUUUCUGAAGGUAGACAAGGAACAAGAAAAACAGAGAGAGUUUAGAGGAAUCUGAAAGGUGCUUUUUUCAGUGCAUUUUGCAAGAACAUAUAUUUUCAUUAAAUAUCAACACAUUGGAUUUAUAAAUCUUUUAAAAUCUCUCAAAAUCUCAAUUGAAUUCACUCUCCUAGUUAUUUAAAGGGAAAUUGAAGCCUAAAAAAAGGACAACAAUGAAAGAUAAUUUGUAAAUUUGUUUAACUUUUCGUCGAAUAACUCAAAUAUGCUUUUCUAUAAAAACUAUACAUAUUUGAUCUCACAGCCCAACCAAAACUCAAUCGCAUAGCAACUCAGUACCACAGUUUGGUAAUAUUCCUCUUUGAAAGUGAAAGGUCUUAGGUUUCAAUCUCAUGGAUGAUGAAUUCGAUACCAAAUUAUGUUGCUCAUUGUGUAGCUUAGCUGAAUUCAUCAUCCUCCUAAUAUAAAAAUAUCAAUGUACCAAUAAAAAAAACAAAACUCAGUCACAUAAACAUGAUUUCCUGAAGGGAAAAUUAGAAUGCCCUACAUCUUUUCUAUAGUUGUUAGAUUAAACGUUCAUCCCUUUUAAAGAUUUGAUUAAGGUGUUUUGAUCAAUUGCCAUCUCAAUAAUUUGGGAACUUUAACGAAAAGCUCCCGGUACUGUUAAAUUUAACGAAAAACCAUAUUUUUACAUUAAAAAAUCAAUUCUGGUACUAUUCACUUUACCCUUUAUUUUGUCCUUAUCGUUAAAACUCAAAGUUUUCAAGCCCUUUUCAUUAGUUUUCCUUAAUAAUUUUCUAUUUAUUUAAUUUCCAUGUCAUUAAUUUAAAUGCAUUUAUAUAGAGGCAUAAGGUAGCUUAGCAACUAAUUGCCUAUGAGAUUCAAAUUUUCAAAGGGAGUGUAUAUUUAGUCCAAAAAAUUAAAAAAUAAGGCACCUAUAUCAAAACGCUCAUUUCCUGAAUGAAUGCAUAUGAUUUUUACCUUAAGAAGUUCACGAAAUCAGCUUGUCAACCUCUUAGUGGUGAGGAUGUGCGUAUGAACAUAGGUUCGAAUGAACUUCCUUGUAAACCAAUCAAAAUAACCAAUAUCCUUCUCAACCUCCUGCAACCAAGACAGAGUCACCGUCAACAAGCUCAUGAUUUUCUGCACUGACCCAUCUCUCGGAAACUUUGAUUACGCCGAGAAAGUCUUCCAUUUCAUCAAAGAUCUGUGCUUGUUUGUUUACGAUGAAAUGAUCAAGGCGUUUGCCAAAAGGAGUAGUUUCAGAAGCGUCGUUGAGCUCUUCCGGCGGUUGAGGGAGGAGGGAUUAUGCCCCUAUAAUUUUACCAAACCAUUUGUUUUAAAGCCAUUGGAUGCUUGGGAGAGGUUCGGGAAGGUGAAAAGGUUCAUGUGUUUGUGGUAAAAACUGGAAUUGGGUUUGAUGGUAUGUAUGUAACUCGCACAUUGACAUGAAUGUGUAAUUGGGCAUGGUUGAGAGUUUCAAGCAGGUGUUUGAUGAAAUACCUGAGAGAAACAAGCUUUGUUGGAACUUGGAACUUUACGAUUUCGAGGUAUGUUAGAUGCAGGAGGUUUGAUGAGGCUUUGGAUAUGUUUCGGAGGAUGUCAUGUGAGAGCAAUGAGAAGCUCGAUGAAGCUACUGUUGUAACCACCAUUUUAGCUUGAACAUCAUCGAAAACUUUGAAGCUUGGUAAAGAAAUUGAUGAAUAUGUUAGAAAUGAACUUAGAUUCAUUACUAGAACCGGAAAUGUGGUUGUUGAAUACGUAUGUAAAGCUUUGCAGUUUGGCAUGAAGCCUGAUGAUUUCACCUUCAUUGUUGUCUUAACUGACUGCGUUCACAGAGGGUUGGUAGAUGAGGGUUGGGAGUUCUUCAACUCCAUUAGAAAGAUAUAUGAGAUUGAGUGACAUUAGAACACUAUGGUUGCCUGAUCGACCUUCUUGGCCCUACCAGACUGUUAGACGAAGCAGAUGAGUUGAUAGAAAGGGUUCCAAGUGAGAUUAUAGUCCCGAUUUCUAUAUGUUUGCAUCCAUGGUCAGUAACUGCACAUUUCAAUCUAAAAUUUUGAUUUAGGACCGAAAAAGUCGAAGUAUGAUGCUAAUAAUUUGGUUCCACAAGAGAAUAUGGAUAUCUGUAAAGCAUACACCAAUUAACAACUGAACAACUAGUCAAUAUCGCAAAUGAAUUGUCAGUAAAAUGAGGAACAAAUCAUCUGUUGGAUGCGAUCAAAUCAAAUGUCCGAAUAAUGGAGCUGGAAAACGAGAAAGACAGCUGACAUGGUCUGCGGGAGAGUAUAAUGCAGGAAUAGCGACUACUCAACCGAUCUGGCAAUGCUCUCUCUUCAAACCUUUUGCCUUUUCCGUUUGGGUUCAUCUGUAGGAGUCGUCAUUGAUUAGUGGGAUGAUUAUCAUAUGCGCCAUGGCUUGGUCCCGGACUUGACUCAUCAUACAACCAAUCUGGAACUGCUUCAGAUUCAUAUUCAUAGUAAUAAAUGCCCGAAUCAACAUGCUUGUUUUCCUUCAAAGGUUUGUCCCAUACUAGAUUUACCCCUGUUUUCUUCGCUUUAAGACCCUCUAUAAGAAUAACAAUCUUGUCCCCGCCUUGCAAAUUGAGCUUGAGCUGAUCGUUCGAUAAUUGUACCUGCUGAAAAUGAUCCACUGUUACUCCCCAAGCUCCCCAAGAAGGCAUAGAGACCCUCGAAGUAGUAUGCUUGGUACAAUUUACAACAGUAAAGGCAACACUUAAACUGUAGUAUUGCCAACCAAUCCAGCAGAGUGUCAACCCUUUAAAAUUACGACAUUUACAUUGAGGAACAUCAAAACUGACUUUAUUGCCGUCAGCGACAAAGUCAAACCACUUUGGAAUACCAUAAAUCCCACUCAGUAUAAUUCCACCAGCUCCGCAAGAAGUCCAUUCCUAUAAUAUACAUACAAUGUAAUAUAGUGUCAAAUAAUUGUACAUGUGCGGUUGUGUUUGUGCGUGUGAUUGAUAGAGAAAGACAAGAGUAGGAGGAGACAGAGAUAGAGAUAGACCUGUAGGAUGUUGUUCCUAAACUCAGCUGUGAGAUUGGUGCACCUAUACAUAUGAAGCUCCGCCAUGGAGUUUAAUGAUUUACCCAAGCCUAAACCUGGAACCUCUGUGACUUCGGGCGAAUUAAUUAGAUACAGUUUUCUCAUGUUUGACAUUUGCGAAAAGUUUGGCAUUGUUUCCAAUGCAGGGCAUCCACUUGCUUCCAAGACUUCCAAAUUUGUUGGUAAAUCGGGGAUUGCACGAAGAUUUCUGCAAUCCCUAACUAUCAACUCUUGUAAAGAAAUUAGACGCCCAAGGUCGUUGGGGAAUUGUUUUAUGGCUGUUCCAGUUGCAUUAAGUUUUCUCAAUGAUACCAUCUCCCCUAAGCCCUCAGGCAGUUCUCUUAAUGCACAACAAUCCAACAGACAAAGAGUCUCAACAGAGUUCAACUUACAGAAUUUCGCUGGAAGAUAACUAAGCUUAACGCAUAAUGCAAAAUCUACCCUAGUGAGUUUUUUAAGUUGACCGAUGGAUGGGUGAAUCUUGGACAAACUAUAACAGUGUGAAAAAUUCAAUUCUUCGAGAUUUGGGAGUCCUGAAAAGUGUGGUGACUUUUUUAACUUCCAGGACCUAUGAAGAUCAAGGAUUUUCAAAUUUUCGAGCGGCUGCACAAACCCAAAAGAAAAUAUUAUUCAAAAUCCAAGAAGAAUAUGGCUUAAAAAAUAAAAUCGGAGUGGGAAUUAAUUAUAACCCGCUAUGGGCUAGGGGUGAUUGUACCUUGGAAUUCUUCCAGCCUUUUCUGAGGUUGCUGAACCGCAGGUCAAGAGCAACAAGUUUUGGCUGAUUAAGAAGGUGCUCUGGCAUGUACUUGGAAGGGAAUCCAUGCCAGCGCAACCAUCUCAACUCUUUCGGAAAAUGUUUGAAGCUUCCAGUAAGCGUUACAUUGUUGAGCCGUAGCAAUCUCAGUUUUUUCAUAUUGACAAAUGCUUUUGUACUGAAACUAGCCUUUUUUUUUAGAGCUUGGCAAAUCUAGAGAAAGUGCUUCAAUUUCUUCAGUUCCCUGUUAGGUAAACAAAAGGACAUAUGAUGAAUAAUAAAAGGGUCAUUUGCGUCUGAAAAAUGAUUUACUUUCAAACAAUUGUCAUAUAAUCGGUUGGAAAUCGAUUUAAUUGCUUCUAUUUCCACGUGAAGGUUUAUUGUACUUAUAAAUAUAUUUCUACAUAAUAUUAUAAAAGGAAAACUAAUAAAAAUGGUUUGAAAACUUUGAGUUUUAACGAUAAUAACAAAAUAAAAGGUAAAAUGAAUAAUAUCAUAAUUGACUUUUUAGUGUAAAAAUGUGGUUUUUCGUUAAAGUGAACAGUACGGGAAGUUUUCGUUAAAAUUUCUUAUUAUAAAAUGUAAGCAGUUGCACUAGGAUAUGAUUUAGCGAGCAUUAAUAUUAAACUUUAUUGAUAAACUACUUACAGAUUUAUUUGUCAACACGUCUGUUAUGGCUUCAGAAUUCCAGAGUCUACUCCAUCUUCCAGGCUGAGUAGGAGAUUUUUCAGAAAUGAUUGCCUUGCCCAUUUCUUGAAUCAAAUCAUGCAUCUUUAGUUUGCCCGAUUCAACAGUUAUAAGACACCGUUCACGAAGAACACUGAUUUCGCUUGUUGCAUAGAAGCCACAUUCGUCUAAUAUUUUUGUGACAUGAUCCUUCUCCAAGCCAAGAAAGCAACAAGAUAUAUCAAGGAAUAUAGUUUUUUGAUUAUAAUCCAACCCAUCAAAGCUUAUUUUGAGUUUUUCUAUAAUUUCUCCUUCAGGUAUUCUUUUUAAUUUCUCCAAAUAGCUUUGCCACUCUCUUGUGGGUCUACCAAAAAGAGAGGAGCCUAAAACCUUGAGUGCUAACGGCAAACCUCCACAGUAAGAAACUACCUUCUUUGACAAUUCAAGAUAUUCUUCUUUAGGGCAAUUAUUUUCAAAUGUAUGCCAACUGAAAAGCUCAAGAGCUUCCUCCUUAUUCAUUUUCUCAGCUGCAUAUCUCAUAUUCAUUCUCACUGGAUUUAGUAAAUGCUCAUCUCUUGUUGUUAUGAUAAUUAUACUUCCUGGACCAAACCACUCACGAUCUCCAGCUAUUGCACUUAGUUGCUCCACUUUAUCUACAUUAUCAAUAACAAGAAGUACUUUUCUAGGUCGAAGGCAUCCUUUUACUACACUGAUCCCUCUCUGGACAUUAUUUAUCUGGCAUAUGGUGGUUUGUUUCAAAAUGCUAGAAACAAGUUGUUUUUGCAAAUCAACCAAACCAUAUCUACGUUCGGUGUUGCUAACAUCGCCAAGGUAACAUUUAAACUGGAAUCGAUGGUGAAUUUUGUUAUAAAUGGAAUUGGCAGCAGUUGUUUUGCCCAAUCCACCCAUCCCCCAAAUUCCAACCAUUUUAACAUCAUUUAAUCCACCACUAAAAAGAUAACUGAUAAUUGGUUGAACACGAGAGUUGAUUCCAACCGGGUACUUGGCCACCUGUAAUUCAUCUAUGCCAGGAAGCAUUUCCAGAAUAUUCUCCUCAACAAUUGUCUUAAUAACCUUUGCUUCAGGCCUGAAAACUCAAUUAGUAAGCAUUGACUCAAUGAAGGAUUACUAGAAGCUAUCACCUUCACUCAACAGUCAAUAUAAAGAAUUAACUAAAUGCAAAAAAAUAAUAUAUAUAUAUAUAUACACACACACAAACCAGUCAUUUUCCAUUGAGAGAUUCUUCAAAUAAUUUUAAUUGAUUUGACAAAAUAAAAAUAAUUUUAUUUGAGAAACACCUUGUGGACGUCAUUCCAUAACUUAUUUUUCAGGAUUCAUUCAUGCCAUAUAUGGUCAAAAGAGAGAAAAAAAAAAUUCAUUUUUUGAACAAAAAAUAUAAUUUACAUUAAGAGAAAGAGAGUAAGCUUAAUCUCAAAAAAAAAAAAACCAAAAUACAAAAAAAAAAAAAAAGGUUUAUAAUUUGUAUAUGAAUUUGUUGUUCCAUUCCGAUUGGGCAUUCAAUUGCUUGAGUGGACCCAUCAGCCCAUCUGUUGGUUCCUUUUGUUUGGGCUUUUAUAUUUUAAACUGCCAUUUCUAAGAUUCAAAAAUAAUAUCCAAAGCUCCUAAAUCUAGCCUUCUUUGUACCAAAAUUAUUAUGAUAUUAAUUAAGUUAUAAAUCAAUGAUAUGUACAAAAAAUUUAAAAAAUUUAAAAAUACCAAAAAUUAAACGUAUCAAAAAUUAAAUGUACUAAAAUUAAACUAAUCAAUCAACCAUAUGUACAAAAAUCAAUGUACCAAAAAUAAAAAACAAACGUACCAAUUCAUAAUAUGAAUAAAAUUAACGUAUGAAAACUAAUGAUAAGCAUACUAGUAAUGUAUAGAAAUAAUUCUCUCAAUAAACUGUAUACAUGAUAAUUUGAAAAAAAUAAUAUAAACAUCCACCAUUUUUGUUAUCUUGAAGAUAAGAUUAUAUUUUAAUUUAGGAGAUCAAGAUAUUUUGUACGAAAAAAAUAUUAAAAAAAGGGGAACUUUCAUGAAAAGGGCUUGGACUAAGUUUAUUUUAAUAAAAAAUCAUGCUAUAAAUUUAUUUAAUUAAAAAGACUAAAAUUUUAAUGAAAAACCCUUAAAUUUUAAUAAAAAGGAACUUAAAUUUUAAUGAAAAAGACAUAAUUUUAAUAUUAAAAAAAAAAAUCUGAUGCGCGGACCCAUGUGUCCUCACACUGUUUAUGGAACUUCUACACUGCUUAUGGAACUUACGACACUAUUUAUGAAACUUACUGCACUGUUUAUGAAAACUUACGACACUGUUUAUGAAACUUACUAGAUUAUUUAUGAAACUUAAUGGUACUACAUUCUUCUCUCUCGUCUUCUUGAAUAUUCUUAGCACAUUCUCACUUUCCAAACACAUCUUAUUCUUCUAAUUUUCUUCGAUACUCAUUAAAAUACAAAGAUUUAAAAGCAAUUUUCAUUAAUUUUCUUAGAAAAAUAUACACAUAUAUUUAUCCUUUUGUCGCCAAACAUCAAUGUGAUGACGUAUUUAAAUUUCUCCUCUUCACAUGUCGAUGUCCAAUGCAUAAAAAAUUGAAGCACCGAAACGAAAAUCAAACAAAAAUUUGUCUGCCAUGUAAGAUGAAGCAUCAGUGUUCCUUCAUCUGAAACUCCACUUGUAAUUACCUAGAUAGUUUGAACUUGAAGCAUUUAGCAUUGUGGCUAUGCUUGCGCGAAAGUGCGAUAGGUUGGUCGAUUUCAUUCAGUGUUUCAUAGGUUGUAGUUGAUGUGCAACAAGUCGAUUUGAAUUAAAUUUGGGUUCGGAUGCAAGUUUGACAAGACCAUGUACAGUAAACAUGCAACUUGCAGAAGCGAAAUUGUUUGAUAAGAGUAUUGGGUGAUUGGGUGGGUGAGGGCGCGCGCACAGCGCGACUUUUUUUUUUAAUGUUUAUUUAUUUUAUUUUUUUUGUCCUUAUCAUUAAAUAAAGGUAGUGUAUGGUUUUUCAUUAAAAUGCAAAAAUUUGAAGCUCUUUUCAUUAGUUUUUCUUAAAAAAAGAUCACUGGAUAAAUAUUCUUAAUGACAAACCAUUGAUUAUCUCUUAAAACAGAGUGUCUCAACUUCUAAAAUACUUUAAAAAAAUUAGCAGAAAAUUAAUUUUUAACUGAUGUGGCCCAAUGUACCUAAGCGUCUGAAUCAAGAUCCUUAAAAACACAGAUCUUUGAUAAAAAAAACUUUAAAUGUUAGGGAUUUAAAUCUAGGAAGUUCUAACAAAAAGAAUGCGGUACUGUUUAUUUUAACGAAAAAUCACAUUUUACACUAAAAAGUCAAAUUUAGUACUAUUUAUUUUACCUUUUAUUUUGUACUUAUCCUUAAAACUCAAAGUUUUCAAGUAUUUAUCUAAUCAAGCCUAUGUAAAAUAUGUUUUAAAUAGAAGAUGUCCCUACUGUUACUCAUAUUUUAUCUUGCAAAUCUUGAUGUUUCAGCGAAGCUAUUUUUCUUGUGUGCUAUUUUCAUAACAACCAUUCAUUAACACGUUUCAAAAUGUGGAAAAGCCGAAAAUAGAUAGCAGCAUUACUAAGACGUCCAAGUCCAAUGAAAAUGGUUACCCGUUAUUAAGAUGGUGGCCAGACAAAUUUGCAGCUUGAGUGAGAGCCUCUCUCCACUGCUUUACCCUUUCUUUCUUAGCUUCACGUUCGUUGUCAUCUUUUUCUUCAAGGAUGUCAUCGUGCUUCUGAAAUGCUCGGGCUAAACAACCUUCUUGCUUCCUCACAUGUGAAGGAUCGACAUGAUAGAAUAUUGGCAAGACCUGUUGCUCCAGCCUUUCUCUACAUUCCAUGAUCUUCACCAGCUCGUCAAGACACCAUCUUGAUUCCGCGUAACUCUUUGAGAGGACAAUGACCGAGAUUCUGGACUCUUCGAUUGCCCGCAACAGUUCGGGUUUUAUUUCUCCCCCUCUUUCAGAUUGUCCUCAUCAAUAAAGGCAUCGAGGCCCCUGCCUUGUAAAGCCGCGUGAAGGUGGCUCGUGAAGCCAUUGCGUGUAUCUUCACCUCUAAAACUCAAGAACACAUCGUAGUUCCAGAGUUUUGAAGAGGAGGGUUCACGGGAUGUCAUGGUGUUGUAUUACUGUUUACAGCACUAGAGUGGUUCCAAUCAAGCGAAAAAAAUCGCAGUGGUUUUUUUAGUGUUGCAACAGAGUAUAUAUAGCACCGAAGGGACACUUUUUGGUUCUUUCCAGGAAGCGUUCCGCUCCCAAUCUUUAGCUCUUUCCGGGAAGCAUCCGCCCCAAGUUUUGAAGAAAACCAAGGAUGUUUCCAGUGGAAAACCACGAUGUUCGUGGCCUCAUGAUCUGAUCACUGGACGGCUACGAUUAAAGUGUCGGAAAAGAUGGGAGAAAAACAGCUUUAAGAUGAACUGCGUUCAACUAAGUAAAAGGACACGAACUGAUGGGACUUGAGUCGAUGAUAGGAAGGGUAGCAAGUGCCUUUUACUUAGUGCGCUUGCAUAACUACUUAAUUGUUGCUGAGAUUCUACGGAGGAGCCUAUAUUUUAAUGACUAAAUAAUCUCCUAAUUACUAAACGAAGUGAGAUACUGAAGUCAAGUCUCCUCUCAAAAGCAAAGCACAUUCAGUCAACAAAGAUAGAAGUCAUCAUGUAACCCUAAGCGACACGGUAAUAGAACGGUGGAAAAGCUGCUUUUUGAAGAAAAACAAGGUAGUUUCCAGUGAAAAACCAAGAACCUACUCGUGGCCACACGAUCUGAACACUGGAUGGCUAAGAUUGAAGAUUGGGCGAAAACUGCCUUUGGAGAAAAGAAGGCGUUCAACGGAAAAAGGACAAACUAUACCCCAACUGAUGAGCUUGUAGUUCCACUUUAGGCGGUACUUAGUGCUACAAAACAGAGUGGACGGCACAUGCUAGUAACGUCAUCGUUGAUCAAUGGGAAAACUGAGGUUCUACGAAGGGUAAGGGAAAGAGGCACGGUGGGGGAAAGAAACUAGCACAAAAUUAGAGAGAGUCUAUUACACCAUCUUCACUUACAAACUAAGACAACGAAGUAGAGGUUUCACAUGGGAUUUUAUUCUCUUCUUUUUCUGAAUUGAUGUUUCAUCUUCUACUUGUUUAGUAUUAGGGUUAAUUAGAUAUAAAAUCAUUAUACUUUAGGUCCGUUGACUUCUAAUUCAACUAAGCAAUUUUUUUUAUGGCCUAUAUUCAGGGAUGUGUUUCUACAAUUUGUUUCAGUACCAUCUAUAUCCGUAUGCAUGUUUUGGAAAUUGAAAUUUCAAAAUCAUGUGUAAAUGGUUGAAUAAUUCUCAUCACCUAAUUGCGAUAUAUAAUGUAUACUAGAAUUGAAUUUAUGGUCCAAUUCACUAUUAGGUUUUAAUAAUUCACCGUUCUUUCAGUGUUAUACUUGUAUUUGUAGUUUGGUUUGUAGAAACUGGUGAAAAAUCAUUAGGUUUUAAUAAAAAGUUGGGGGUGUCGGAUAGAUGCAGUUCAAUUGAUUACAAAAGUGAUAUUUUAUCACAUUUUUUAUAUCAUAUUUGUAUCACAUUUCUAAUAGAGAUGAGAUUCACAUGUUUUGGUAAAUCCUAUUUCUAUUAGAAAUGUGGUAUGAAAAAUGUGGUAAGUGUAGGUUACUCUUAAGAUUAAUGGAAGGAUAAUACUUUGUAUCCCCACGAAGGGAUGUACAUAUUCUUACAUUUGCAAAUAACAUAUUUUGAGUAUAUAAACUUAAUGAUCUAAAUCAUUCAAUUUCUUAAUCAUCAAUUGAAGAUCAUUCAUACAAAAAAUCAUUUGAAUCGAAAAUCAUUUAAUCAUCCAAACAUAUCAAAUAAAUGAAGGGUUCAUCAUGAAUAUGUUACCUGGUCUUAAAUUUCAGGUAGACAAGCCAUGAGUCCACUCCAACAACACCGAUAUUGUCCCCACUUGGCCACCUACUCAAUCCCUCAGGUGUGGGGUUUUAAUACAAAAGACCUCGGUGUUAGUUAGAGUGGGGUAAUUUUAUAUAGAUGGCUUGUUCUCAAGCCUUCUAGCCAAUGUGGGACAAAAUAAUUCUAACACUCCCCUGCACGUGAGACCCCAUUUUAUGGGUCACACCUGGAGUUCCACACAUCGGCAACCAUGUGGAGCCAAGUUGGGGCUCACCCGUUUGCACAGGGCCAAUACACGUGGCAUAUCUUGGCCUACGUGGAGCCAAGUCGGGGCUCACCCAUUUGCUCAGGGCCAAAGGGGACCCACCCGUUCACGUGGAUGUACAGACUCGUCCCCUGGCUCUUAUACCAUCUUAAAUUUCAGGUAGACGGGCCAUGUGCCCACUCCAACAACACCGAUACUGUCCCCACUUGGCCAUCUGCUCAAUCCGUCAGGUGUGAGGUUUUAAUACAAAAGGUCUCGAUAUUAGUUAGAGUGGGGUAAUUCUAUAUAAAUGGCUUGUUUUCAAGCCUUCUGGCCGAUGUGGGACAAAAGAAUUCUAACACUUGGUAUCUACACCGUUGAUUUGUACGUUCCAUACAUUUUAAUAACGGCCUGAAAGUUGCCAACUCUCCAUCAAAAUCCAUAGAUUUAUAAAUCUAUUAAAAUUUCUCAAAAUCUCAAUUGAAUUCACUCUCCUAGUUAUUUAAAAUGAAAUUGAAGCCUAAAAAAAUAGGACAACAAUGAAGGAUAAUUUGUAAAUUUGUUUAACUUUUCCUCCAAUAAAUCAAAUAUGCUUUCCUAUAAAAACUAUACAGAUUUGAUCUCACAGCCCAACUAAAACUCAAUCACAUAGCAACUCAGUACCACAGUUUGGUAAUAUUCCUCUCUUGAAAGUGAGAGGUCUUAAGUUUGAAUCUCAUGGAUGACGAAUUCAAUACCAAAUUAAGUUGCUCAUUAUGUAGCUUAGCCGAAUUCAUCCUCCUCCUAAUAUAAAAAUAUCAAUGUACCAAUAAAAAAACAAAACUCGGUCACAUAAACAUGAUUUCCUGAAGGGAAAAUUAGAAUGCCAUACAUCUUUUCAAUAGUUGUUAGAUUAAACAUUCAUCCCUUUUAAAGAUUUUAUUAAGGUGCUUUGAUCAAUUGCCACCUCAAUAAUUUUCUAUUUAUUUAAUUUCCAUGUCAUUAAUUUAAAGGGAGUUUUAACGAAAAGUCCACAAUACUGUUCAUUUUAACGAAAAACCACAUUUUUACACUAAAAAGUCAAACCUGUUACUAUUCACUUUACGCUUUAUUUUGUCCUUAUCAUUAAAACUCAAAGUUUUCAAACCCUUUUCAUUAGUUUUCCUUAAUUUUUUAAAUGCAUUUAUAUAGAGGCAUAAGGUAGCUUAGCAACUAAUUGCCUAUAAUAUAGGAAUUUAAUUUCAUCAAUCCCCUUCUACGCAUUAAAUGACAUUUUUUAAUAAAAUAAAAUAAAAAAUUAAUUAACUAAUUCCUCAUUACCUUAUUAUUAGUAUUUAAAAAAAAAUUCUCUUUCUAUUAAAAAUGUCUCAAUAAAAAGUCUUCAAUACAUAUUUUUUCACAUAUAGAUAUAUAUAAAAAAAUAUACUUAAAACUUAUGGUACAUUUGAGAACAAAAGUAUCGACUUUUGGUAUGUUUAAAUUUCAAAUGUACCGAGAAACCAAAUGUACCAAAUAUUCAAAUGUACCCAUUGUUAUGUAACCCUUUUGGUAUGUUUAGAUUUCAAAUGUACAGAGAAACCAAAUGUACCAAAAUUUCAAAUGUACCAUAAAACCAAAUGUGCCCAUUGUCAAGUAACCAUUUUGGUAUGUUUAGAUUCCAAAUGUACCAAAAGACGAAAUGAAAAAAAAAUCACAAAUGUACCCCAAAACCAAAUGUCUCUAUCAGAUAACCCUUUUGGUACAUUUACAUUCUAAAUGUAGCGAGAAAUACAAAAAAUCAAAUCCACUAUAAAACUAAAUGUGUCCAUAUUAUAGGUAACUAGACGUAGUUAUAUAAUCAAACAAAUCUUUAUCAUGUGUUGGGUCUUCGAAAUAAUAAAAUCUGACAAUUUUUUAUUUUAUAAAUAUUCUACUAUAUUCACAAAAAGAAGUAAAUUUAUACCAAACAAUAAAAAAUUGCAUGAAGAUGGAUAAUAAAUGCAUAAAUAUAGGGAUAAGAGGAAAAGAAAAAAAAAACGAAAUGUCUAGGAAAAGUCAUGAAAAACUAAAAUUCUAAACAAAUUUGAACUUAUGUAAAAAACUGAAAUUAAUAACCAAAAUUUUAGUAAAAUGUUUGAUCAAAUUUUCAAAAGGAAUGUAUAUUUAGUCUAAAAAAUUAAAAAAUAAGGCGCCCAUUUCCUGAAUGAAUGCAUAUGAUUUUUACCUUAAAGAAGUUCACGAAAUCAGCUUGUCAACCUCCUAGUGGUGAGGAUGUGCGUAUGAACAUAGGUUCGAAUGAACUUCCUUGUAAACCAAUCAAAAUAACCAAUCUCCUUCUCAACCUCCUGCAACCAAGACAGAGCCGCCGUCAACAAGCUCAUGAUUUUCUGCCCCAACCCAUCUCUCGGAAACUUUGAUUACGCCGAGAAAGUCUUCCGUUUCAUCAAAGAUCCGUGCUUUUUUGUUUACGAUGUAAUGAUCAAGGCGUUUGCCAAAAGGAGUAGUUUCAGAAGCGCCGUUGAGCUCUUCCGGCGGCUGAGGGAGGAGGGAUUGUGCCCCUAUAAUUUUACCUACCCAUUUGUUUUAAAGCCAUUGGAUGCUUGGGAGAGGUUCGUGAAGGUGAAAAGGUUCAUGUGUUUGUGGUAAAAACUGGAAUUGGGUUUGACAGUAUGUGUGUAACUCGCUCAUUGACAUGAAUGCGUAAUUGGGCAUGGUUGAGAGUUUCAAGCAGGUGUUUGAUGAGACGACGAGAUCGAGUGAUUCGAAAACGAAAAUCAUACUUCUUGAUGAGACGACGAGAAUAAUACAUUUCUCGACGACUAACUCGCCAUCGUUUGGCAGGAAAACGGCUCGAAAAUGGCUAACUCUCAAUCAAAAUCCAUAUAUUUAUACAUCUAUUAAAAUCUCUCAAAAUCUCAAUUGAAUUCACCCUCCUAGUUAUUUAAAGGGAAAUUGAAGCCUAAAAAAAGGACAACAAUGAAAGAUAAUUUGUAAAUUUCUUUAACUUUUCCUCGAAUAACUCAAAUGUGCUUUUUUUAUAAAAACUAUACAGAUUUGAUCUCACAGCCCAACUAAAACUCAAUCACAUAGCAACUCAGUACUACAGUCUGGUGAUAUUCCUCUCUACUUGGAAGUGAGAGGUCUUAAGUUUGAAUCUCGUGGAUGACGAAUUCGAUACCAAAUUAAGUUGCUCAUUUUAUAGCUUAGCCGAACCCCUCAUCCUCUUAAUAUAAAAAUAUCAAUGUACCAAUAAAAAAAAAACAAAAACAAAACUCGGUCACAUAAACAUCUGACUGAAUGCAUAUGAAUGUUUUUUUUUUUUGGAGAACAUGCAUAUGAUUUUUACCUUAAGAAAUUCACAAAAUCAGCUUCUCAACCUCCUAAGGGUGAGGCUGUGCGUAUGAACAUAGGUUCGAGUGAACUUCCUUGUAAACCAAUCAAAAUAACCAAUCUCCUACUCAGCCUCCUGCAACCAAGACAGAGCCGCCGUCAACAAGCUCAUGAUUUUCUGCACCGACCCAUCUCUCAGAAACUUUGAUUUAUGCCGAGAAAGUCUUCCGUUUCAUCAAAGAUCCGUGCUUGUUUGUUUACGAUGUAAUGAUCAAGGCGUUUGCCAAAAGGAGCAGUUUCAGAAGCGCCUUUGAGCUCUUCCGGCGGCUGAGGGAGGAGGCAUUGUGCCCUUAUAAUUUUACCUACCCAUUUGUUUUAAAGCCAUUGGAUGCUUGGGAGAGGUUCGGGAAGGUGAAAGGUUCGUGUGUUUGUAGUAAAAACUGGAAUUGGGUUUGAUGGUAUGUGUGUAACUCGCUCAUUGACAUGAAUGCGUUAUUGGGCAUGGUUGAGAGUUUCAAGCAGGUGUUUGAUGAAAUACCCGAGAGAAACAGGCUUUGUUGGAACUUGGAACGUUACGAUUUCGAGGUAUGUUAGGUGCAGGAGGUUUGAGGAGGCUUUGGAUAUGUUUCGGAGGAUGUCAUGUGAGAGCAACGAGAAGCCCGAUGAAGCUACGGUUGUAACCACCAUUUCAGCUUGAACAGCAUCGAAAACUUUGGAGCUUGGUAAAGAAAUUCAUGAAUAUGUUAGAAGUGAACUUGGAUUCACUACUAGAACUGGAAAUGUGGUUGUUGAAUACGUAUGUAAAACUUUGCAGUUUGGCAUGAAGCCUGAUGAUUUCACCUUCAUUAUUGUCUUAACUGACUGCGUUCACAGAGGGUUGGUAGAUGAGGGUUGUGAGUUCUUCAACUCCAAUAGAAAGAUAUAUGUGAUUGAGCGAGGUUAGAACACUAUGGUUGCCUGAUCGACCUUCUUGGCCGUACCAGACUGUUAGACGAAGCAGAGGAGUUGAUAGAAAGGGUUCCAAGUGAGAUUAUAGUCCCGAUUUCUAUAUGUUUGCAUCCAUGGUCAGUAACUGCACAUUUCAAUCUAAAAUUUUGAUUUAGGACCGAAAAAGUCGAAGUAUGAUGCUAAUAAUUUGGUUCCACAAGAGAAUAUGGAUAUAUGUAAAGCAUACAACAAUUAACAACUGAACAACUAGUCAAUAUCGCAAAUGAAUUGUCAGUAAAAUGAGGAACAAAUCAUCUGUUGGAUGCGAUCAAAUCAAAUGUCCGAAUAAUGGAGCUGGGAAAACUAGAAAGACAGCUGACAUGGUCUGCGGGAGAGUAUAAUGCAGGAAUAGCAACUACUCAACCGAUCUGGCAAUGCUCUCUCUUCAAACCCUUUGCCUUUUCCGUUUGGGUUCAUCUGUAGUAGUCGUCAUUUGAUUAGUGGGAUGAUUAUCAGAUGCGCCAUGGCUUGGUCCCGGACUUGACUCACCAUACAACCAAUCCGGAACUGCUUCAUAGUCGUAUUCAUAGUAAUAAUCACCAAGAUUCUUGUUUUCCUUCAAAGGUUUGUCCCAUACUAGAUUUACCCCUAAUUUCUCCGCUUCAAAACCCUCUAAAAGAAUAACAAUCUUGUCCCCGACUUGCAAAUUGAGCUUGAGCUUAUUGUUCGAUAAUUGUACCUGCCGAAAAUAACCCGCUGUUACUCCCCAAGAAAGCCUAGAGACCCUCGAAGUAGUAUGCUUGGUACAAUUUACAACAGUAAAGGCAACACUUUUAUGUUGGAAUUGCGACCAAACCCAGCAGAGUGUCAACCCUUUAAAAUUACGACCUUGACAUUGAGGAACAUCAAAACUGACUUUAUUGCCGUCAGUGACAAAGUCAAACCACUCCGGAAUACCAUAAAUCUUAUUCAGUAAAAUACCACCAACUCCGCAAGAAGUCCAUCCCUAUAAUAUACAUACAAUGUAAUAUGGUGUCAAAUACUUGUACAUGUGCGGUUGUGUUUGUGCGUGUGAUUGAUAGAGAAAGACAAGAGUAGGAGGAGACAGAGAUAGAGAGAGACCUGUAGGAUGUUGUUCCUAAACUCAGCUGUGAGAUUGGCGCACCCGUACAUAUCAAGCUCCGCCAUGGAGUUUAAUGAUUUACCCAAGCCUAAACCUGGAACCUCAGUGACUUUGGGCGAAUGACUUAGAAACAGUCGUUCCAUGUUUGACAUUUGCGAAAAGUCUGGCAUUGUUUCCAAUGCAGGGCAUAAAAUUGCAUCUAAGACUUUCAAAUUUGUUGGUAAAUCGGGGAUUGCACGAAGAUUUCUGCAAUACCCAAGUCUCAACAUUACGAGAUUUGAAAGACCACUGAGGCUAGGUAGGCUACGAAAACUAUUGCCUCCAACUAUCAACUCUUGUAAAGAAAUUAGACGCCCAAGGUCGUUGGGGAAUUGUUUUAUGGCUGUAAAUUUUGCAUCAAUUUUACUCAAUGAUACCAUCUCCCCUAAGCCCUCAGGCAGUUCUCUUAAUGCACAAAACGACAGACAAAGAGUCUCAACAGAUUUCAACAUAUAGAAUUCCGCUGGAAGAUACCUAAGCUUAUGGCACCAUUGAAAAUCUACCCUAGUGAGUUUUUUAAGUUGACUGAUGGAUGGGUGAAUCUUGGACAAACUAGAACAGCCUGAAAAAUUCAAUUCUCCGAGAUUUGGGAGCAUUGAAAAGUCUGGUGACUUUUUUAACUUCCAGGAACAAGCAAGAUCAAGGAUUUUCAAAUUUUCGAGCGGCUGCACAAACCCACAAGAAAAUCUUAUUCAAAAUCCAAGAAGAAUAUGGCUUAAAAAUAAAAUCAGAGUGAGAAUUAAUUCUAACCCGCUAGGGGUGAUUGUACCUUGGAAUUCUUCCAGCCUUUUCUGAGUUUGCUGAACCGCAGGUCAAGAGCAACAAGUUUUGGCUGAUUAAGAAGGUGCUCCGGCAUGUACUCGAAAGGGAAUCCAUGCCAGCCCAACCAUCUCAACUCUUUCGGAAAAUGUUUGAAGCUUCCAGUAAACUCUACAUUGUUGAGCCGUAGCAAUCUCAGUUUUUUCAUAUUGACAAAUGCUUUUGUACUGAAACUAGCCUUUGUUUUAGAGCUUGGCAACUGUAGAGAAAGUGCUUCAAUUUCUUCAGUUCCCUGUUAGGUAUACAAAAGGACAUAUGAUGAAGGUUGAAGUGCCAAAGUCUUUGAAUUAUCAUCUCAGUGAAAAUUAGGUUUCCGAAUUUUUUUUUUUGGUAAAAUAAGUCCCUAAAUUCAUUAAAAAUUUCUAAUUCCAUCCGUACUAUUAUAUUCAAAACUAAUUUAUCUAUUUUUUCUUCAACUUAAGUCACUUGAAACACUUUAGAAUGUACUAUCGUCAUUUUCUCGCCGGUAAGCCUUUUACAUUUCAUAUAGGUUGCGAAUCUAACAUCUAAUUUACCCUCCACAGUUAACUUACAUUAUUUCUUAUGUAAAACUACCAAUUUACCCAUCAAAGUUAACUUUAUACACUAUUUCUUUAUGAAAAACUACUAAUCUAUCCUCCAAUGUGUAUCGCAUAUAAGUAACGUGACUUAAAUUGACGGAAAUUUGAAUAUAGUAGCUUCAAAUAUAAUAUUAGAGAUGUAAUUGGCAGAUUUUUAUAAUUUAAGGACUUAUUUUUCUGAAAAAAUAGUUUAGGGACCUAAUUUCCACUGAGGUGAUAAUUCAUGGACUAAAUUGACAGUUCACCCUAUGAUGAAUAAUAAAAGGGUAAUUUGCGUCAGAAAAAUGAUUUACUUGCAAACAAUUGUCAUAUAAUCGGUUGGAAAUCGAUUUAAUUGCUUCUAUUUCCACGUCAAGGUUUAUUGUACUUAUAAAUAUAUUUCUACAUAAUAUUAUAAAAAGAAAACGAAUAAAAAGGAUUUGAAAACUUUGAGUUUUAAUGAUAAUGACAAAAUAAAUAGUAAUAAAUAGUAGCAGUAUUGACUUUUUAGUGUAAAAAUGUGAUUUUUUGUUAAAAUAAACAGUACCGGUAGUUUUUCGUUAAAAUUUCUUAUUAUAAAAUGUAAGCAGUUGCACUAGGAUAUGAUUUAGUGAGCAUUAAUAUUAAACUUUAUUGAGAAACUACUUACAGAUUUAUUUGUCAACACGUCUGUUAUGGCUUCAAAAUUCCACGGUCUACUCCAUCUUCCAGGUUGAGUAGGAGAUUUUUCAGAAAUGAUUGUCUUGCCCAUUUCUCGAAUCAAAUCAUGCAUCUUUAGUUUGCCCCAUUCAAUAGUUAUAAGGCACCGUUCAUUGAGAACACUGAUUUCGUUUGUUGCAUAGAAGCCACAUUCAUCCAAUAUUUUUGUGACAUGAUCCUUCUCCAAACCAAGAAAGCAACAAGAUAUAUCAAGGAAUAUAGUUUUUUGAUUAUAAUCUAACCCAUGAAAGCCUAUUUUGAGCUUUUCUAUAAUUUCUCCUUCAGGUAUUCUUUUUAAUUUCUCCAAAUAGCUUUGCCACUCUGUUAUGGGUCUACCAAAAAGAGUGGAGCCUAAAACUUUGAGUGCUAACGGCAAACCUCCACAGUAAGAAACUACCUUCUUUGAUAAUUCAAAAUAUUCUUCUUUAGGGCAAUUAUUUUCAAAUGUAUACCAACUGAAAAGCUCAAGAGCCUCCUCUUCAUUCAUUUCCUUGGCUGGAUAUCUCAUAUUCACUCUCACUUGAUUUAGCAAAUGUUGAUCUCUUGUUGUUAUGAUAAUUAUACUUCCUGGACCAAACCACUCACGAUCUCCAGCUAUUGCACUUAGGGCUGGUUUGGUAUUGCUGUGCUUUGAAAAAAAGCUGCUGUGAGAAUAAGCGGCUGUGCUGUG